rnacentral:rRNA from 1 species
CCUACGGGCGGCAGCAGUGAGGAAUAUUGGUCAAUGGACGAGAGUCUGAACCAGCCAAGUAGCGUGAAGGAUGACUGCCCUAUGGGUUGUAAACUUCCUUUAUAUGGGAAUAAAAUGUUCCACGUGUGGGAUUUUGUAUGUACCAUAUGAAUAAGGAUCGGCUAACUCCGUGCCAGCAGCCGCGGUAAUACGGAGGAUCCGAGCGUUAUCCGGAUUUAUUGGGUUUAAAGGGAGCGUAGGUGGAUUGUUAAGUCAGUUGUGAAAGUUUGCGGCUCAACCGUAAAAUUGCAGUUGAAACUGGCAGUCUUGAGUACAGUAGAGGUGGGCGGAAUUCGUGGUGUAGCGGUGAAAUGCUUAGAUAUCACGAAGAACUCCGAUUGCGAAGGCAGUUCACUGGACUGCAACUGACACUGAGGCUCGAAAGUGUGGGUAUCAAACAGGAUUAGAUACCCUUGUAGUC